UUUUAUGGAGAGUUUGAUCCUGGCUCAGGAUGAACGCUGGCGGCGUGCCUAAUACAUGCAAGUCGAGCGAACGGACGAGAAGCUUGCUUCUCUGAUGUUAGCGGCGGACGGGUGAGUAACACGUGGAUAACCUACCUAUAAGACUGGGAUAACUUCGGGAAACCGGAGCUAAUACCGGAUAAUAUUUUGAACUGCAUGGUUCAAAAGUGAAAGACGGUCUUGCUGUCACUUAUAGAUGGAUCCGCGCUGCAUUAGCUAGUUGGUAAGGUAACGGCUUACCAAGGCAACGAUGCAUAGCCGACCUGAGAGGGUGAUCGGCCACACUGGAACUGAGACACGGUCCAGACUCCUACGGGAGGCAGCAGUAGGGAAUCUUCCGCAAUGGGCGAAAGCCUGACGGAGCAACGCCGCGUGAGUGAUGAAGGUCUUCGGAUCGUAAAACUCUGUUAUUAGGGAAGAACAUAUGUGUAAGUAACUGUGCACAUCUUGACGGUACCUAAUCAGAAAGCCACGGCUAACUACGUGCCAGCAGCCGCGGUAAUACGUAGGUGGCAAGCGUUAUCCGGAAUUAUUGGGCGUAAAGCGCGCGUAGGCGGUUUUUUAAGUCUGAUGUGAAAGCCCACGGCUCAACCGUGGAGGGUCAUUGGAAACUGGAAAACUUGAGUGCAGAAGAGGAAAGUGGAAUUCCAUGUGUAGCGGUGAAAUGCGCAGAGAUAUGGAGGAACACCAGUGGCGAAGGCGACUUUCUGGUCUGUAACUGACGCUGAUGUGCGAAAGCGUGGGGAUCAAACAGGAUUAGAUACCCUGGUAGUCCACGCCGUAAACGAUGAGUGCUAAGUGUUAGGGGGUUUCCGCCCCUUAGUGCUGCAGCUAACGCAUUAAGCACUCCGCCUGGGGAGUACGACCGCAAGGUUGAAACUCAAAGGAAUUGACGGGGACCCGCACAAGCGGUGGAGCAUGUGGUUUAAUUCGAAGCAACGCGAAGAACCUUACCAAAUCUUGACAUCCUUUGACAACUCUAGAGAUAGAGCCUUCCCCUUCGGGGGACAAAGUGACAGGUGGUGCAUGGUUGUCGUCAGCUCGUGUCGUGAGAUGUUGGGUUAAGUCCCGCAACGAGCGCAACCCUUAAGCUUAGUUGCCAUCAUUAAGUUGGGCACUCUAAGUUGACUGCCGGUGACAAACCGGAGGAAGGUGGGGAUGACGUCAAAUCAUCAUGCCCCUUAUGAUUUGGGCUACACACGUGCUACAAUGGACAAUACAAAGGGCAGCGAAACCGCGAGGUCAAGCAAAUCCCAUAAAGUUGUUCUCAGUUCGGAUUGUAGUCUGCAACUCGACUACAUGAAGCUGGAAUCGCUAGUAAUCGUAGAUCAGCAUGCUACGGUGAAUACGUUCCCGGGUCUUGUACACACCGCCCGUCACACCACGAGAGUUUGUAACACCCGAAGCCGGUGGAGUAACCUUUUAGGAGCUAGCCGUCGAAGGUGGGACAAAUGAUUGGGGUGAAGUCGUAACAAGGUAGCCGUAUCGGAAGGUGCGGCUGGAUCACCUCCUUUCUAA
rnacentral:rRNA from 1 species